CCUACGGGUGGCAGCAGUCGAGAAUCAUUCACAAUGGGGGAAACCCUGAUGGUGCGACGCCGCGUGGGGGAAUGAAGGUCUUCGGAUUGUAAACCCCUGUCAUGUGGGAGCAAAUUAAAAAGAUAGUACCACAAGAGGAAGAGACGGCUAACUCUGUGCCAGCAGCCGCGGUAAUACAGAGGUCUCAAGCGUUGUUCGGAAUCACUGGGCGUAAAGCGUGCGUAGGCUGUUUCGUAAGUCGGGUGGGAAAGGGGCGGGCUCAACCCGCGGACGGCACAUGAUACUGCGAGAAUAGAGUAAUGGAGGGGGAACCGGAAUUCUCGGUGUAGCAGUGAAAUGCGUAGAUAUCGAGAGGAACACUCGUGGCGAAGGCGGGUUCCUGGACAUUAACUGACGCUGAGGCACGAAGGCCAGGGGAGCGAAAGGGAUUAGAUACCCGGGUAGUC
rnacentral:rRNA from 1 species